rnacentral:rRNA from 1 species
AUUGAACGCUGGCGGCAUGCCUUACACAUGCAAGUCGAACGGUAACAGGUCUUCGGAUGCUGACGAGUGGCGAACGGGUGAGUAAUACAUCGGAACGUGCCUAGUAGUGGGGGAUAACUACUCGAAAGAGUGGCUAAUACCGCAUGAGAUCUACGGAUGAAAGCAGGGGGUCGCAAGACCUUGUGCUACUAGAGCGGCCGAUGGCAGAUUAGGUAGUUGGGGGGGUAAAAGCUUACCAAGCCGACGAUCUGUAGCUGGUCUGAGAGGACGAUCAGGCGCACAGGGACUGAGACACGGCCCAGACUCCUACGGGAGGCAGCAGUGGGGAAUUUUGGACAAUGGGCGCAAGCCUGAUCCAGCAAUGCCGCGUGCAGGAUGAAGGCCUUCGGGUUGUAAGCUGCUUUUGUACGGAACGAAAAGCCCCGGGUUAAUACCCUGGGGUCAUGACGGUACCGUAAGAAUAAGCACCGGCUAACUACGUGCCAGCAGCCACUGUAA